rnacentral:lncRNA from 1 species
UAUUUUCUCCUCCUCAUAUCAAAAGGGCUUCCAGCUCUGUGCAGUCACCAGCAGGGGCUGGUGGGUCUUCCCCGUGGGCUUGGUGCUAGGCCACAAUAAAGGGAGGAACAGGAGGGGGUACGUACUGCUGGAGCCACCUCCUGCAUCCCCCACUCAUGGUGGCUGACUGGGGGUGUCCUGGGGAGCUGUGGUCACGGGACCGAGACCCAAUGGACCAAGCAACCCCUCCAUCAGGAUACACCCCUCCACAUGUCCCUGCCCUGAGGCCAGGUCCUCACCACAGCUGUGCCCAUGCCCAUGGCUCAUUGCUGCUAAAUUGAAGCUUCAUUUGCAGAGACAAUGUUGCCCUGCUGCCACUGCCUGGUCCACUCCCUUCCUGCCCUAGCAUCUGGCUCGCUCUGUGGCUCUUUGGUGCUGAAAACCACUGGCCAAAUGCAAGUGGCUCCCCUAACACCCGUCCUGCAGCCUUCAAACAAAGUGGGAGGCAGCAGGAAGCACAGUUGGGACUGGCAGCCAAAUCCUUAAUGAGGUGACGAGGAUUGCAGGGCCGGCUCGUUAGUGCUGCAAGGCAAGCGCGUCACAACGGUGCUGGUGUUGGAGCGACGGAGAUGAUCAACUUUCAGAAAACCACGCAGCCUUUAAAAUAGAAGACAGGAGUAGGAGUAGGCUCCCGAUGGAUGCGCCCACUGCAAUGUCGUAACGGGGAGAAGAGGAAACUGAUUUCCCAAUCGUCUGCAGCCCAUGAGCCCUCCAUGCUGGGAAUGGCAGCCAGGGGAGCUGGCUCACUGUGCUGUGCCGUGUCACGUACACCACCUUUGGCAUAGGAUCCAGCGGGAGAAGGCAGAAAGGAGCCAUGGGCAAUUCCCUGCAGCAGCCACAGCAUCUCAGGCUGCUGUCAUCCUGAAGGAGGGGAUCCCUGCGGCUGAGCCAGCGGUGCUGCGCACCCAGCAUCCUCCUCUGAGUGCUCUGCUUGGCCACCCAGUGCCUGCUGGCAUGGACAGAGCCACUUGAAGGUGCCAACAUCCCUGUGCCGAGGGACAUUGGAUGGGACAGGGCAUCAGUCCGGAGGGUGCCCACGGGAUGACUUUCACCCCUCUCUUUCUUUGUUUCCUGGAGAGGGGAGGCAGUCCCUCUGAGCAUUUAAGCUCCUCUCUAUUUCCCCCAAAUUCCAGGGUAAGAUGACACCAGGACAGGAGAAAGGAGGUUUUUCUCUGCAGAAGAAAUUCAAACCACAUGCAGCGAGUUCAGAGCAGGAGCAGGAGGAGGGAUCGGGCUGCAUGGAGCGGGCUCUCAACAGUGAUGUGAGACCUGAAGUCAAUUAGCACUUUCAGGCCUCUGAACAAGGCUGAGUGCUGUGCUUCUAGCAGGCAUAAUCCCCGUCUGAGCCAUGCUGCCAGCAGCCUUUGAACAUAAUUAGGAAGUGCAAAGCCCCAGUGCUUCCCAGAAAAGCCUGUUAGCUUCGUGGUGCAAACCUCGCUUGCAAGGAGCGCAUCAUGCAGGCACUGCCGUGACUCAUCAGCUGGAGCUCAGCUCCAUUUUUUGGAGGUCAUCUUGCUGGACUCCUAAUGAGCAUUAUCCCAAAUGGGGCUCCCGUGCUCCCUGUGUCUGCCUUAGCUCUGGAAAUGCUCCAUAUACCUGAGAGGAGCGGGAUGGUUUCACCCGCGAGGUCGGUGGGGAUGGGGAAACUGAGGCACAGAGUGCUCCCAGCACCGCUCCAGCAGCUGGGGGGCAGCACUGCCAACACCCUCAGCCCACACCCCACAGCCCGGGCAGCUGCCGCCAACCCUCCCCAGCUCCUGGGGGACCGUGGAUGUGCACGGCCUGGGCCAGGCUUUGCAGGAACAAAACAAGGCCAUCAAUCAGCCUUGCUUCAUGCAGCCACCGCCCGCGGGCAGGGCUGGCUCUGUCUGUGCACAGAGGGAACCCCGCAUCAAAGCGGCUGCAGACGGCAGCACCCUGCCCGCCAGCAGCGUGCGGCCAACCCAUGGUGCUGAGAGCUGGCGGCACAUGGCCCCCGGGUGGAGAUGGCCUGGUGUGGGUACAGCGGGGCUGCGUACGGCAGGGAGGGGGGCAAUUUGGGUGCAAAACCCCAAAUAUCCCCAUUAACAAAGGGAUGGAGCCACUCUGCCCAUGACUCCCAGCAAGAGACAGAGCAGGGGCUGACCGUGCUGUGCCCCCAGCUCUGUCCCACCCCACAGCUCCCACCAGGGUCACGGGGACUCCAUGCUGGAGCCAAUCCUCCUCCCCCUGCAGCCCGAGGUAGCGGCUCCAUAUGGCGCAUAACAAUGGAUGCCUUUUCCAGGUCACUAAUUAAGACGUAGAAUCAAAGUUAUUAAAACGGGAAGGCUUAAAGGGAACAUUCUCCCCGAGGUGCCAGGUAUAUUAAAGGAACGGGGUAAAUAGCAGAGGGGAAGCAGGGCUG